rnacentral:lncRNA from 1 species
CACCUUUCUGCUUUCGCGGGGAGAUGUGAAGUGGCGAAAGUAUUCCUUCCUGUUUGUGUUGCAAGAAUCCUGGAGUCGAGUUUUGGAGAAGUCCGCUUUUUCCCAGCGAGAGCAAAUUCUCAACAAGAAGGAAAGCAGGCUAUCAGAAAUUUUGAGAACUUGCAGAAGUGCUUACAAGGAAAAUGAAGCUCCCUAUUUUCAUAGCAGAUGCAUUCACAGCAAAAGCAUUUCGUGGGAAUCCUGCUGCUGUUUGCCUCCUAGAAAAUGAUUACAGAGCUUCUACAGAUUUUGAAUACAGUGCUCCUUUAAGAAAAGCUUAGUAAGUCUCCUGUUAGGAUUUUUACAUCAGCUGAUAGUUUAAAAAAAUCAUGACUGAUUUUUCAUAGUAACAGCCUUUAUGCCUUAUAUGAAUAUAUGGAAAGUGUUUCAGAGUGAUUUGAAUCAACUGAAAGAUAGGGGUGUUUAAUUAUGUGACUCAGGUAAGUGAUUAUGAAUUUAUUAGAAGAAAAUUAUGAUUUUUAUAUCUGGAUUUCAGGAGCUCAAGAACACUAAGUUUGGCCAAAGUGAAAAUGCAGUUAUCUUGAGAUUUCUUCAGAAUUCAAAAUCUAAGUCAUGAGCAUUUCGUUGAUGGAAAAAAUGAUUUUCAGAGUUCCCUCAUGGCUCAGAGGGUUAAGGAUCCUGCCACUAUCUCUGUGGUUGGUUACAAC